GUAGGUGGCAAGCGUUGUCCGGAAUUAUUGGGCGUAAAGCGCGCGCAGGCGGUUCUUUAAGUCUGAUGUGAAAGCCCACGGCUCAACCGUGGAGGGUCAUUGGAAACUGGGGAACUUGAGUACAGAAGAGGAAAGCGGAAUUCCACGUGUAGCGGUGAAAUGCGUAGAGAUGUGGAGGAACACCAGUGGCGAAGGCGGCUUUCUGGUCUGUAACUGACGCUGAGGCGCGAAAGCGUGGGGAGCAAACAGGAUUAGAUACCCUGGUAGUCCACGCCGUAAACGAUGAGUGCUAAGUGUUAGGGGGGUUUUCCGCCCCCCUUAGUGCUGCAGCUAACGCAUUAAGCACUCCGCCUGGGAGUACGGCCGCAAGGCUG
rnacentral:rRNA from 1 species